AAAUAUUUAAACUAAACUAUUUAUAGAUGACAUAUUUAAUAGGAAAAUUGCAUUGUAUUAGGUUCAAACAAAUAAUAAUUUAUUGGAUAACUGAAGAAAGGUGACUGCGAUAUUCAACGAAUUUUAUGUCUUAUAUAUUCAAAGCACAUUUUACAUCUACUGGUUUAAUCUCUUCAUCCUUUGUUCUUUGUUUUUUUUUACUCUCAAAGAUUUUGUUUAUCAAUUAAAUUGUUUACAUAUUUCUCCGCAUCUUAAAUCGAAUCAAUUGGAACUUGAAACCUGACAUUUUCUUAAUCUCCUUUGCCGAUGUUACACUCUUCUACACUAUCGAUGAU
rnacentral:lncRNA from 1 species